rnacentral:rRNA from 2 species
UGCAAGUCGAGCGGACAGAUGGGAGCUUGCUCCCUGAUGUUAGCGGCGGACGGGUGAGUAACACGUGGGUAACCUGCCUGUAAGACUGGGAUAACUCCGGGAAACCGGGGCUAAUACCGGAUGGUUGUUUGAACCGCAUGGUUCAGACAUAAAAGGUGGCUUCGGCUACCACUUACAGAUGGACCCGCGGCGCAUUACCUAGUUGGUGAGGUAACGGCUCACCAAGGCAACGAUGCGUAGCCGACCUGAGAGGGUGAUCGGCCACACUGGGACUGAGACACGGCCCAGACUCCUACGGGAGGCAGCAGUAGGGAAUCUUCCGCAAUGGACGAAAGUCUGACGGAGCAACGCCGCGUGAGUGAUGAAGGUUUUCGGAUCGUAAAGCUCUGUUGUUAGGGAAGAACAAGUGCCGUUCAAAUAGGGCGGCACCUUGACGGUACCUAACCAGAAAGCCACGGCUAACUACGUGCCAGCAGCCGCGGUAAUACGUAGGUGGCAAGCGUUGUCCGGAAUUAUUGGGCGUAAAGGGCUCGCAGGCGGUUUCUUAAGUCUGAUGUGAAAGCCCCCGGCUCAACCGGGGAGGGUCAUUGGAAACUGGGGAACUUGAGUGCAGAAGAGGAGAGUGGAAUUCCACGUGUAGCGGUGAAAUGCGUAGAGAUGUGGAGGAACACCAGUGGCGAAGGCGACUCUCUGGUCUGUAACUGACGCUGAGGAGCGAAAGCGUGGGGAGCGAACAGGAUUAGAUACCCUGGUUAGUCCACGCCGUAAACGAUGAGUGCUAAGUGUUAGG